UAUACACUUUCAAAGAUGUCGGGUGACAGAAUUUGCAAGGUGUAAUCUAACCCUAGUCACUAAUGUGCCAACGAAGAAAUGUCAGCAAGAAACAGGAACAGUGUAAGAAAACUCGUUAAGAAUAGCAAAGAAACAGGAACAAGAACAAGACUACCAAUUAAAAGCCUGCUAGUAAACUCAGAGAAAGGAAAACAAGAAAAGCACACUGUCACCCUGUUAUGACAGAACUAUAAAAUACCAGUACCAGAGAGAGACAUCAUGAAUUAAUUGAAUUAAAGAAUAUCAAAGAAGAAUCAGAAUAUCCAAGGAUAUAACAGGCGACAAACAAGGAGGCGGCAAUAAAAUAAAAUAAAUAGUGAUAAACAGUGAUAACGCGGCACAAAUAAUUAAAUAUAAAAUAUAAGUAUAUUGAAUAUAGAAUAACCGCAUCAAAGCAAACCAUAAAUAUAUUAAUUUAAUUUACAACACUUUGUACAACCAUAAAUAUAAAAUUAAACUAAAUCAUAACAGUAACUUUAAUUCAGUUAAUUCAGAAUGAAUGAACAAUGACGGAAUGAAAGAAUGAACGAAUUAUCAGUGAAGUUAUUAAUAAAGAAAUUAAAGAGAAUGAAGUGAAUAGGAAGCGUAAAGUAUAAAGUGAAAGCCACGACCAGCAUAAUGUAAUAAUAUAGGGUAAAGCAACGCAGUGUAAUAUAAUGCAAUGUAAUAUAAUAUAAUGUAAAACAAAUGAUAUAUAAUAAAAUAAAAUAGAAUAUAAAAUACAAGAAGUGGACUCAAAAUAUAACCGUAAAGCUUAUUAACUAAAUACUCUAUUUCUUUACCAAAGCAAAUUAUAUGUUAAAUGGUAAAUGGUGGAUGAUAAGUGAUCAUGUCAAUGCAAAUGUAAAUAGAACCAAUUAUUUCAUGACAUUUCAAAAUAAGGAAAUAAACAACACGUAAAUAAAUCAAAUCAAAUGUAAACUGUGUAAUUCAGUUAAACACUAUGCUACUGCAUAGUGUAAGAAUGAAUGAAUCAAUCAAUCAAUAAGUAAGUAAAUAUUUUAAACUAAUAUUAAAAAUGGUGAAAUUAAACAGAACCCGCGCAGCAUGAAAGCAUUUGAAUAGACAAAACCACUCAUCAUCACAGAAGAAUAGCAAAAUUAAUUAAGAUAAAUGAAAUCAAAUCCCCAACCUCAACUGAUCAGAAUAAAUAAAUGAAUGAAUAACGAAUAAUGAAUAAGUGAAUGAAUGAAUGAAUGAAUAAAUCAAGGAAGAGAGAAACAGCAGAAUACCAGCAAGUACGAGUAAGCAAACCCUAAUGCACCAAAGCCACGGUGUCAAAAUUAGCAUGCAAGGACUAGCUAAAAGGAACGACAUUGAAUAAGAGAACUGAAUUGCAACUGAAAAGGAAAAGAAAAGAAAGGAUACAAGGUAAGAAACAGCCCACCAUCAUGGAAGAGCAACAUUAUGACCAGAGAAAGACGUCAUGAAUAAGCUGGAUUAAAGGAAAUCAAAGGAACACCAAAACAUUAAUGAAUAUCAAGGAUGCACAGGGAAAUCAAGAACAAAUCAAGAAGCGAUAAUGAAACAAAAUGUAUAACAGCGAUAACGCGACCUAAUAAAUUAGAGUAAUAAUAAAUAUAUUAAAUACAAUAUAAAAUAAAGAAUAACCAUGGAAGCAAAUCAUAAAUAUAUUAAUACUAAUACAAUCUACAGAACUUUGUACCAUCGUGUGUUAAAAUAAACUAAAUCAUAACAGUUA